rnacentral:rRNA from 1 species
UGGAUUAGGCAUGCAAGUCGGACGGUAGGGCUUUAUCGUAAGAUAGAGUUUGAGAGUGGCGAACGGGUGAGUAACACGUAGGAAUCUACCCUUAAGACGGGGACAACCCAGGGAAACUUGGGCUAAUACCGGAUGAGAGUGCGAGAGAUUGCAUUUAAAAGGAUGGCGAAAGUUGUCGCUUAGGGAUGAGCCUGCGGUCUAUUAGUUAGUUGGUGAGGUAAGAGCUCACCAAGGCGAUGAUAGAUAGGCGGCCUUAACGGGUGGUCGCCCACACUGGGAUUGAGAUACGGCCCAGACUCCUACGGGAGGCAGCAGUCGAGAAUAGUCUACAAUGGCCGGAAGGCUGAUAGUGCGACGCCGCGUGAACGAGGGAGCCCUUCGGGGUGUAAAGUUCUUUUCUAUACGAGCAGUGCUAUAUAUAUGGAUAGUAUAUAUAGAGGGAUAGUAGUAUAGGAAUAAGCAACGGCUAACUCCGUGCCAGCAGCCGCGGUAACACGGGGGUUGCGAGCGUUGUCCGGAAUUACUAGGCGUAAAGGGCAGGUAGGCGGAUCUACGAGUUUUUUGUUAAAGGCUACGGCUCAACUGUAGUAGAGCAGGAGAUACUGUAGGUCUGGAAUGCGGUAGGGGAAGACAGAAUUCCUGGUGUAGCGGUGGAAUGCGCAGAGAUCAGGAGGAAUACCGAAGGCGAAGGCAGUCUUCUAGGCCGUAAUUGACGCUUAACUGCGAAGGUGUGGGGAUCAAACAGGAUUAGAUACCCUGGUAGUCCACACAGUAAACGAUAAUCACUAGAUGUCGGGUUCUAGAUGGAUUCGGUGUCGGAGCCAACGCGAUAAGUGAUUCGCCUGGGGAGUACGGUCGCAAGGUUGAAACUCAAAGGAAUUGACGGAAAU